CUGGAGGUAUCAGAAGUGCGAAUGCUGACAUAAGUAACGAUAAAGCGGGUGAAAAGCCCGCUCGCCGGAAGACCAAGGGUUCCUGUCCAACGUUAAUCGGGGCAGGGUGAGUCGACCCCUAAGGCGAGGCCGAAAGGCGUAGUCGAUGGGAAACAGGUUAAUAUUCCUGUACUUGGUGUUACUGCGAAGGGGGGACGGAGAAGGCUAUGUUGGCCGGGCGACGGUUGUCCCGGUUUAAGCGUGUAGGCUGGUUUUCCAGGCAAAUCCGGAAAAUCAAGGCUGAGGCGUGAUGACG
rnacentral:rRNA from 1 species